AGUGAAAGGGAUGAUUUAUUUUGAAUUUUUUUGGCUUUUUGUCAAUGUGGGUUAACAUUUUUAGUGAGUUAUUUUUCAUUUGAUCAUGUUAUUCAUUUUGCUGCUCAAAUUAUCCCAAGUUUGAGUAUGAGGAGUCCUUUCAAGCAGAUUCCAGGAUAUUUUUUUUUCCAUUUACAUUUUCCUUAAGACUUAAAAUCUCCUUUUCUGAAUUAGUCUGAGAGUUCCAAUUAUUUGAUGAGUCGUGGUAUUGCUUUUAGUAAAGAAAGUAUAUUUGUGAACCACUGUUUUAAGAUUAGGUGCAUUAAAUUUUUUCUUGUAAUCUCACAUUGAGGUCUUCUGAGAGAAUAAUCCAAAUUUUAAAACCAUGUAGAUUUUGAAAUGCUAAACAACAGUAAAAACCUAAGACUUAGAACAAAGGCUACCAUAACCGCAGUGAACCUAUGAUACACAGAUGUUGUAGCACAUAUCUUUAAUCCCAAUUACUUCAGACAGUAAAACAAGUAGGUUUCCCGAACACAUGUUUUCAAAGCUAGUCUCCAAGAGAAGUAAUUAAUGAGGAAAUUUGAAUUCAUUUGUUGAAAUUUUUUGUUUUUUAAGAUUUACUUUAUAUAUGAGUAUACUAUUGCUGCCUUUAGACACACCAGAAGAUGGUGUUCGAUCCCAUUAUAGAUGGUUGUGAGCCACUAUGUGGUUGCUGGGAAUUGAACUCAGGACUUCCGAAAGAACAGUCAGUGCUCUUAUUAACCAAUGAGCCAUCUCUCCAGCCCAUGGUGAAAGUUCUUGUUUCUCUGAUCUAAAACUAUUGUAUAGGUCUUAAAGACUGAAGCAUCAGGAAAGUGAAAUAGAUGCUAAUCUGUGCUUCCUAAAAUACCCUGUCUCAAAAUAGUAAUAGUAGCAAAAAGUUCCCAUAGUCCAAUAGAACAACAAAUAAAUGAUAUAGUUUUUAAAAAAGAUUUAUUUAUUAUAUGUAAAUACACUGUGCCUGUCAUCCCAGAAGAGGACAUUGUAUUUUAUUAGGGAUGGUUGUGAGCUACCAUGUGAUUGCUGGAAUUUGAACUUAGGAUCUUCAGAAGAGCAGUCAGUUUUCUAAACUACUGAGCCAUCUCUCCAGCCCUUGAUUUUUAUUUUUUAAGGAAAAAAAAAAAAAAAGCAAAGAGUGUUCUCAGCUGCUGAGCCAUCUCUGCAGCCCCAAUAAUGAGUAUCUUCAUUUCAUGUCUGUAAUAUCUUGAUGUCAUCGUAACUCUGUCCUAUUUUAUGUAUUGUUUAGAGGCUGCCUCCAUUUGAGACAUUUUCUCAGGGACCUACAUUACAAUUUACUCUUCGAUGGACAGGAGAAACCAACGAUAAGUCUACAGCUCCUGUUGCCAAGCCUCUUGCCACUAGAAAUUCAGAGAGCCUUCAUCAGGAAAAUAAGCCUGGUUCUGUUAAACCUGCACAAACUAUUGGUAAAAAUACUGUUGCUAUCUAAAUAAUGGUUUUAAUGUUUUAGACUUAGAGUAAUUCAGUUGUGGUUUGGUUGUCUUUAAUUAUUCAGGAAAUAUUCUUUGUCUUAUCAAGUAUCAUUAUUAGCUAUGGUCAGUUAAGAAUUUGCCUAUAUUAAGCCAGGCAGUGGUAGCAUAUGCCUUUAAUCCCUGCGUUUGAGGCCAGCCUGGUCUAUAAAGUGAGUUCUCAGACAGCCAGGGCUAUACAGAGAAACCCUGUCUC
rnacentral:lncRNA from 1 species